rnacentral:rRNA from 1 species
AUACGGAGGAUCCGAGCGUUAUCCGGAUUUAUUGGGGUUAAAGGGAGCGUAGGUGGAUUGUUAAGUCAGUUGUGAAAGUUUGCGGCUCAACCGUAAAAUUGCAGUUGAAACUGGCAGUCUUGAGUACAGUAGAGGUGGGCGGAAUUCGUGGUGUAGCGGUGAAAUGCUUAGAUAUCACGAAGAACUCCGAUUGCGAAGGCAGCUCACUAGACUGUUACUGACACUGAUGCUCGAAAGUGUGGGUAUCAAACAGGAUUAGAUACCCUGGUAGUCCACACAGUAAACGAUGAAUACUCGCUGUUUGCGAUAUACAGUAAGCGGCCAAGCGAAAGCAUUAAGUAUUCCACCUGGGGAGUACGCCGGCAACGGUGAAACUCAAAUGAAUUGGCGGGG